CACAAAGAAACAGACAGUGGUUUGUGUCAUCACAAUAGUGUUGCUAUAAGAUUGUGUGUAACCGAAACUGAACAGUCAAUAGAAAGAUAACGCCUGCAAGAUAUAAUUAGAUAAGAUAAUACAGUUACAGACAAUUAAUAACAUGCAACUGGGUUGUAUUUUCUAUUUUUCUAAUAUUUAGUUUUUGUUCAGAAUGCUGUUUUGCUGUUUUUAUGUCAACUCAGCUUUGUGACAGAUUCUGAAGAUGUUGGGUCUCACGUUUUGUCAGUGACAUGGACAGAAUUUUCCUCCUUUUCUGUAGAGUGAGAGGAUAUCUGUAUCUGCAGGUAACAUGCCAACUCACAACAUGUCUCUCUGGAAUAGAUAACUUUAUUGUUGUUGUUUGUUUAGAAUGGAAGCUUAUUAAAGAACCGGCUCAAGCUGCCAAAGUUUUCAAAGAGAAUCUGCUAAGGGAACAUGCAUCUGGGAAACCCCUUAGAAUGAAGAUGGAUGUAAGGGACUCUGAAGAGGACAGGGAACAGGAACUUCUCUUAUUCUGUAAACAGCAGCAAGAAUGGGCAUGUCCACUUCAUUGUACUCUUGUUGGUGAUGUUGCUAUCGGAGAGGGAGUGAUGCGGUACUUUAUGACAACAAUCAUAUCCAACUCCAGUUUGGAUUCAGUCUAGAUCUUGGAGGAAUGGGCCGAACACUGCUAUUUGAGGGUGAACCUGACCAUCUUGUUCCAGCAGCAUCAGAGGCACUUAUUGAAAGCAACCUCUUCCGGGUCGCAGGAAGGAUGUUGGCCCACACCUUUCUGCAUGACGGUCCCCAUGUCGCAGGAUUAAGUCCUGCUGUAAUUCAUGUACUGUUCAAUGGGGACCCUGAAAUGGCAACUGUUGUUACAGAAGACUGUCCUGAUCUGCACAUCAGGAGCAUCAUAAAACUGGUAUGUAACAUAAAAGAAACUUUGCCUUGCAAAAAUUAUUGUUUGGGCAAAUAUAAUAACUUGUAUGAUCUUGAUUCUAGCUCGAACAUGAAGAACUUACACUGCAACAGAAGGACACAGUUUCAGAUCUUUCCAUGUCUUGGGACCUUCCGGCAGUCACCGAAACAAAUCGGAGAUGGCUACAUAACAAACUUCUACUCCAUGCAGUCGUUGGGAGGACCAUGCGCCAAAUUAAACAGUUGA
rnacentral:lncRNA from 15 species